rnacentral:rRNA from 1 species
UACAGGGGGGGCAAGCGUUGUUCGGAAUUACUGGGCGUAAAGGGUUCGUAGGUGGCUUACUAAGUCAGACGUGAAAUCCCUCAGCUUAACUGGGGAACUGCGUCUGAUACUGGAAAGCUUGAGUGCAGGAGAGGAACGCGGAAUUCCAGGUGUAGCGGUGAAAUGCGCAGAUAUCAGGAAGAACACCCGUGGCGAAGGCGGCUCUCUGGGACGGUACUGACGCUGAGACGCGAAAGCGUGGGGAGCGAACAGG